rnacentral:rRNA from 1 species
GGGAAACUCACCAGGUCCAGAUGAAAUAAGGAUUGACAGAUUGAGAGCUCUUUCUUGAUUUUUCAGGUGGUGGUGCAUGGCCGUUCUUAGUUCGUGGGGUGACUUGUCUGCUUAAUUGCGAUAACGAGCGAGACCUUACUCUGCUAAAUAGCCAGGCUAACUUUGGUUGGUCGCCGGCUUCUUAGAGAGACUAUCAACUCAAGUUGAUGGAAGUUUGAGGCAAUAA